ACACGUAGGGGGCGAGCGUUGUUCGGAAUCAUUGGGCGUAAAGGGCGCGCAGGCGGCGAGGCAAGUCCGGUGUGAAAGUGCUCGGCUCAACCGAGUGAUGCGCUGGAAACUGCCCUGCUUGAGUACAGGAGGGGACGUCGGAAUUCCAGGUGUAGGGGUGAAAUCUGUAGAUAUCUGGAAGAACACCGGUGGCGAAGGCGGACGUCUGGCCAUGUACUGACGCUGAGGCGCGAAGGUGCGGGGAGCGAACAGGUUUAGAUACCCUGGUAGUCCGCACAGUAAACGAUGUGCACCAGGUGGCGGGGGGUAGCCCUCGGUACCGAAGCCAACGCAUUAAGUGCACCGCCUGGGGAGUAUGCUCGCAAGGGUGAAACUCAAAUGAAUUGACGGGG
rnacentral:rRNA from 1 species